CCCAGCUAGGCUCGAACGGAGGGUGUUUCUUAAAGGGAGAGGCGCUUGGGUUAUCUUUUCCGUCCCACUUUCUUGAAUGGAAUGGACCUCUGAGGUUCCACGACGCGCCUCCACUCGAGCCGGGACGCGUGGUUUGAACUGCUUCUGAGAAGCCUCAAAGAGGCGCCUCGCGCUUUGCUGCUUCUUAGCAGACGGAGCGCUCGGGCCUGCGUGCAUCACAGCUGCACGGACUAGUGUUCAAGCUCUCCGCCAGGGUAUCCGGAUUGGGAAACUUCUCCCGGGUAGUCUGGCACCCCGACACCCUCGGGGACAAAAGAGCCACUCACGUCCCGCCUUCGCGCCUUAGUGCUAAGAGAGGUUCACUUUGGACCUGGAACUUUACGAGGGGGAAGAAAGCAGAGACUGACUGAGUUUGGAGACCUGAAGUAUCUGAUGCCACGUAUGGUUUCGUCUGAGCUCCUGAGAGUGGAAGGGGGGAGAGUAUUGAAGCAAAAUGGGCAGCUGUCUUUUGGAGUUAGGAGUUGUAGUUGGCUACUUUAUGUCUCUUCACCUCAGCUGCAGUCAUUCAAAUAUUUGGGUCCGAACUGUUCCAGGCCGGGUUUUCUUGAGAAGAUUGAGCAGAACCAAACAGAAUCCUUGUUCUAAAGAGUAGGUCUUCCUAUAACAUGAAAGAAUAAUUAGCAGGAUGAGAGUGAGCCAUGCCCUUGGACCACCUGGAGAGGAGGUAAGUUCUUAAUGUUUCCAUUGCUGCCUUUUUUUAACUAAGUAGAGAUCCUUGUAGAAUAGCUAGACAGAUGCUAAUCUUUUAGUUCAACUCCAUAAAUAUUUAUUAUGUACUAGUUUUCUGUCUUGCACUGGGAUGAGUGCUGAAUUUUUUUUUUUUUUUUUUUUUUUUUUUCUGCCCUGUUGUGUGUGGAGUUCCUGGUCCAGGGAAUCAGAUCUGAACUGCAGUUACUGUGGCAAUACUGGACCCUUUAACCCAUUGCACCGGGCCAGGGAAUCUAACCUGCAUCCUGGCCCUGUAGAGACACCGCUGAUCCCCUUGUGCCACAGUGAGACCUCCUGAACGUUCUUUAGAUGUAGUGCAGUCCUUGAAUUUAUGGUCUUUUUUUUUUUAGGGGAAAUAAGAUAUAGCAAUAUUGAACAAGUAGAUAACAAUAUAAAAGAAGUCCUGUUUAUAGGAUUGAGCCAGAAAUGAACAAAUUAAGCCUGGAACACCUUACUAUAUUAGUAAGAAAGGAAAUAAACAAAUACUACUGUGGUCUUUCUCUUCUUUUCUGUGGUACUUUUAAUGCCCCAGUAAACUUUUUGUUUUCUUAUUGCGUUCUAAUCGACAUCUAACAUCAUGUUAGUUUCAGGUGUACGACAUGAUUUGCUCUAUGUUUAUAUUGUGAAAUGAUAACAGUAAGUCUAGUUAAAAUCCAUCAUCAUACAUAAAUAAUUUUUUUUUCUUGUGUUGAGGACCUUUAAGAUUUACCCUUAGCAGCUUUCAAAUAUGCAACACAGUAUUAUUAACAACAGUCAUCAUCCUAUACAUUACAUCCCCAAGACUGAUUUAUUUUAUAAUUGGAAAUUUGUAACUUUUUGAGCCCCUUCGUCCGCUUCACUCACUUCCUGUCACUCCCACCACACUGCCAAUCUGUGCUCUGUUUACAUAAGCUUGGUUUUUUUAGAUUCCAAAUAUAAAUGAGAUCAUACAGUAUUUGUCUUUUUUUUUUUUUUGCUUUUUAUGGCAGAACCCACAGUGUUAGGAGGUUCCCAGAUUAGGGGUCUCAUUGGAACUACAGCUGCCAGCCUAUACCACAGCUACAGAAACUCGGGAUAUGAGCCGUGUCUGCAACCCUACACCACAGCUCAUGGCAAUGCCAGAUCCCCGACCUGCUGAGUGAGGCCAGGAAUUGAACCCCCAUCCUCAUACAUACUAGCUGGAUUGUUUCCCCUGCGCCACAACAGGAACUCCAGUAUUUGUCUUUUUCUGACUUACUUUACUAGUAUGUUGCUUUCAAGGUCCAGCCGCAUUAUCACAAAUGGGAAGAACUCUUUUUUUAUGGCUGAGUAUUAUUCCAUUGUGCAUAUACACAUCUUCCAUCUCCAUUCAUUCAUCACUGGAUACUUAGGUUGUUUCCAUAUCUUGGCUACUGUAAAUAAUGCGGCAGUGAACAUGGGGGUGCACGAAUCUUUUCAGGUCUGUGUAUUUGUUUUCUUUGGAUAAAUAUCUAGAAGUGGAAUUUUUGGAUUUAAUUUUUUGAGCAACCUUCAUACUCUUUUCUGUAGUAGCUGCAGCAUUUUACAUUCCCAGUCAUGGUGCCCAGAGGUUUCCUUUUCUCUACAUCAGUGUUACCACUUUUUCUUGUCUUUUCGAUAAAAGACAUUCUAAUAAGUUUGAGGUGAUACCUCAUUGUGGUUUUGAUUUUUCUAAUGAUUAGUGAUAUUUAGGACUUUUCAUGUACCAAUUGGCCACCUGUAUGUCUUUUUUGGGAAAAAAGUGUAUGUCUUAUGCUCAUGUUUU
rnacentral:lncRNA from 1 species